rnacentral:lncRNA from 1 species
GUCCUGAGUUGAAUGGUGCUAGUCCCAUGUCUCUACGACUUCCGGUUCUUAAGUUUGGUAUUGCAUCAUAUAUUUGAUGAUUAAUUGUGACCUUGGUGAACUUUAAAAUUGUCCCAAUUCUUUUCUAUAAUGUUGUCCUUCAACUGUAGAUCAUUUAUCAUUUAACAGAUUUGAGAUAUCUAUUGUCGUUUUAGAGAUAAUGCAGUUUGAAAUUUUGCGAGCGGAGGCAUGUAUUUCUGAAUCAACAAGAGCUUAC